rnacentral:rRNA from 1 species
GGAUUAGAUACCCUGGUAGUCCACGCCGUAAACGAUGUGCACUAGGUGUUGGGAGUAAUUAAACUCACAGUGCCGAAGCUAACGCAUUAAGUGCACCGCCUGGGGAUUACGGUCGCAAGACUAAAACUCAAAGGAAUUGACGGGGGCCCGCACAAGCGGUGGAGUAUGUGGUUUAAUUCGACGCAACGCGCAAAACCUUACCUGGGCUUGACAUCCCGAUCGUACCUUUUGGAAACAUUUGGGUCAGUUCGGCUGGAUCGGUGACAGGUGCUGCAUGGCUGUCGUCAGCUCGUGCCG